UACAGAGGGUGCGAGCGUUGUUCGGAAUUAUUGGGCGUAAAGGGCGCGUAGGCGGCGCCACAAGUCACCUGUGAAAACUCUGGGCUCAACCCAGAGCCUGCAGGCGAAACUGUGGUGCUGGAGUAUGGGAGAGGUGCGUGGAAUUCCCGGUGUAGCGGUGAAAUGCGUAGAGAUCGGGAGGAACACCAGCGGCGAAGGCGGCCUUCUGGACCAGUACUGACGCUCAUGCACGAAAGCGUGGGGAGCAAACAGG
rnacentral:rRNA from 1 species